AGACACUCCUAGUUCUUGAGGUGAGGCUGACACACAAGAAAGGAAUGACCACCCAGCACCGGGGACACAUUUCAGGCUGCACGAGAAAGAGGGCCUCCCUCAAGUCCGCACAAGACUCUUGCAUUUCUCAUAACUGGCUGACUCCACCCAGACCUGUGAUUCAUCCAGUUCUGUGGCCCCCACCCAGAGGCAGACUCAGCACCUGAAGACCGUCUUCCAUACUCUUGUGAUUUCAUCCCCAACCAAUCAACAUUCCCCAUUCCUUAGACCCCUCCACACCAAACUAUCCUUGAAAAACCCUAACCUCUGAGCCUUUGGGGAGACUGAUUUGAGUAAUAACUCUGUCUCCCGCAUGACUGAUCUCCUGUCAAUGAAAUGUCUUUACUGCAAUACCAUUAUCUCAGUAAAUGGAUUUUGUCUGUGCAGUGGGCAAGAAGAACCUGUUGGGUGAUUACAGAUUUGUCCAGUGCUGUCCAAGGGAGAGAAUAUAGUCAUGGGUUCUUAGUUUCUCUUUCUGGUUGGGCCAGUAAAUCCCCUUCCUCAUCCCUCUUUUCCGCUUAUCACUAGAGACAGAGGUGAAAAUCCAUGGCUUCAGACUGCUAAAAGCCUAAAACAAAACAAAACAAAACAAAACAGAGCAGCAACAACAGCAAAAACAACAACAAAAUAAGGUGGACUGGACCAGCUUAAGCUCAUAGACCUUAUUUAAGUGGACUCACACUGGAUGCAGGCCUCUGACUCGGGCGCAUUAUGCUCAGCGUGGUGUAUUGUUGUGUGUAUCUGCAGUGUCUUAGUCUGCUUGGGCUGUCAUAACAAACACCACUGGCUGGGGGGCUUAGAUGACAGAAAUUCAUUUUCUCACAGCUCCAGAGGCUGAAGUCCAUGAUCAAGGUGCCAGCCAAUUUGGUUUGAUGAGGGCUCUUUUCUUGACUUGCAGACAGCCACCUUUCUUGCUAUGUCUUCAUGCAGCCUCCUCUCAGUGUGUACAUGGAGUGAGGGAGAGGGGGUGAGGAGAGGGAGGGGGAGGAGAGAGGAGGAGGAGGGUGCUUUCUGGUGUUUCCUCCAUAAGGACACCAAUCCUACUGAAUUAAAGCUUCACUUAACCUUAAUUAUGACCUCAGUUAACCUUAAUUACUUCCUUAGAGGCCUCAUCUCCAAAUAUAGACAUACUGGGGUUAGGGCUUCAGCAUACACAUUCUGGAGGGUCAGAAACAUUCUGUCCAUAACAAGCAAUUUGUUCCCUUCAUGGUUGAGUUGCAGAGUAGUAUUCCAUUACAUGGAUUUGUUGUAUGAAUAUAUCUCAACUGGUUUGUUCACCACCUGUUGAAGGACAUGAAGUUUGUUUCCAGUUUGGGGCUAUUUAUUAUGAAUGAGGAGAACAUUUGUAUAACAGUCUUUGUGUGGAUCUGGAUUAACCAACAAAGGGAAUAACCUGGAGCACACGAAUGAAAACUCCACUGGUGGUGAAGUCUUCAGGAAUGGCUCCAUCCAGAGGCUCCAGACCGCACUCCAUUUCUCUACUAUGCUUUCAGCUAUAUCUUUGUGUAUGCGUGAGGCUGACCUUUCCAUCCCUUCUUACAGCUCAGUGUUUCUCUUUUGCUUACUCAAUCAGCAAACAUUUAUGGAGCCAGCUCCAUGCCAAGCACUGCACUAUGAGUGGGAAACAAUGGGACUGGGAGAUUCUGGAUAAGCACGAGUGUUCUGCCCCAAAGGGUUUUUACUCAAGGGAGUCUUCAUUUUACAACUAUUCCAUUUAUGCCUGAUGCACACCAGGCAUUGGGCCAGACUCUGGGCACAGCAACAAGCAGGACAGACUCGGUCUCUCCCCAGAGGAGCUCAGAGCCUGGCGGGGGCAGAUACCCAUGAAACCAUCACUCAUGUAUUACAUACGUGAGAUUGGGCCUCUUCAUAUGGUAGUGGCGAGGUCUCAGCAUAAGAAGAGAUACCUACUCAAAGUGAGAAGGGAUAGUUAGUUGGCCACAUCGAGUUACAAGGCCAUCCAUAUUGAAGAAAGUGAAGAAAGAGACUCUGCCGCUUGACAGGAAGCAAGGCAAAAGGACAUGGAUAUGGCAGGUUGUGAAAAAUUGGGUCACUUUUGAAAACAAUCAAUUUCACAGGUAUUAUCUCAUUUCCUCAAAAAGACAAAGUCAAAGCUCAGUUUUACAGGUAAAGCAGCUGAGGCACAGAGAAGAAAAGGAGCUUGCUCAAGGAGCUGCUAAUAGAGUUGAGAUUCAAACCCCGGUGUUUAUCACUCUACAGACAACACGUUAUUAACCCCUGUGAGUUACUGCCCACUCCACUCACAGACAAAGACCUAAGGAGGUCAGCAUCCCAGGAGGCCACUGUCUUUGUCAUCAUUGCCAUCAUCAUCACCAUCAUCACAUUUAUUGAAUAUCUGUGAUGUGCAGAUGCUAUCAGUGCUUUACAUGGAUUAAUUCAUUUAUUAUAAUUCACCCAAUGUCCCUAUAAGAUGUACAUUAAUGAUUUUCCCAUGUAACGUGGGUCAGGAUUAGAAAUUUCAUGACGACUUCACUCAUUUUGAUAUUCCCUCUAUAGCACAAUAUCUGGCACAUAGGUCAUACCCUCUUGCCAUAUGUUUGCUGAAUGAAUGAGGGCAGAAGUAGGGGAGUGAACAAGACUCAAGGCAAACAAUCAUUAGCCCAAAGUCACACAAAGCAGGACUAGAUCUCAAGAUCCCCCAUCUCCUUGCCAUGUGGCCCCUGGGCAGCCUUGUUACCUGGAUCUGCUGCUGCUCCACUCCCCCAAGGUGGCUGAAAAUAGAAAACAAGAUUCGGGAUGUGCUGUUCGGUCUUCCAGCAGGUGCCCCCAAACCAAACAUAGUCCCAGAAACGUAAAUCUGAGAAUGUUUUGAAACUACCUAGCACAGUGGAGAGAGCACUGGGCUCAGAGUCUGAAGACCCAUGUGUGCCACCCUUGGUUGAUGUGUGAUCCUGGAUGGGUCACUUGGAGAAGACCAGACUUUCCUCAUCAGAAAUCCAGGGCUUCAGAUUUUACAUCCUGUUUACAUUCCAGGACUGUGCGGGAGAUAAGAGGAGCUCACAGAUGCAAACUCUCCGUGAAGCUUGUACUUGACUCAACUCAUGGACCUCUCCGGGUUUGCUCAGCUCCACUGGUUGCACCCCCACCAACACCCCCAGCCUCACUUACUUGCUCAGGGGAGCACAGGCCCCACACCAGCUCAUCUCCUAAUUGCCACGGGCUCCACCUCCCACGGGGCAACGUCUGCACCUAGGCCUGGCCUCUUACCUUCCGUGGAACCACAGCAACUCUGGUGCCCUGGUCCAACCUGACUGGUCAUGCAGAGGCUCUGGCUUGUCUCACUGUUUCUAGACCCAGAUGAAGCACUCUGCCCUGAGAUGUAGCAUGUGGCUUCCCCAGCAGCUGUCUGAAGGGGCCACAACACUUUCAGGGGAGUUAAGGCCCGUAGGGUCAAUUUGGACCAGUGAAAGACAGAUGAUGGAAAAUCACCAGGAGAUGCCUCUUUCUUCCUCUGCUAGUCUUGGCUCUCUGGAGAUGUUACAUGGCUGAGUGACCUGGUGUGCUUUGCUCUGAAGCUGUGACAUGCUCAAUCAUGCACCACCCUGUGUUUUCUUUCUCUCCUUCCCUGCUUCACUUCCCGUCUUCCCUCAGUCUUCCCCCAGCUCACACCCUGGAAUGACACACAGGUACCUGAGCUUCACUGGAGAAUCUGUGGGUUAGGUAACCUAGUCGAAGAUAAAGAGAAGAAUUUGAGAAAGUUGUCAAUUUGCAACCACUCAAAAAAUCAGAAGAAGACUGUAUCUACUGCUGGCAAGGAUAUGGAGCAACCGGAAUGCUCUCGUACGCUGCUGGUGAGAAUGUAAAAUGGAACAGCCACUUUGGAAAAUGGGCAGUUUCUUAAAACAUUAAACAUACACCUACCAUAUGGCCCAAUCUUUCCACUUCUAGGUAUUUAUCCAAGAGAGAAAAAAAUACAUAUGUCUACACAAAGACUUGUACGAGAAUGUUUAUAGCAGCUUUAUUUAUAAUAGCCUCAAACUGGAAACAACUCAAAUGUCCCCCAACUGGUGAAUAUAUAGACAAAUGGUGGUAUAUUCAUACAAUGGAAUUUUACUCAGCAAUAAAAAUGAAUAAACUCUGGAUACCCACAACAUGCGUGAAUCUCUAAAUAAUUAUGCUAAGUGAAAAAGGCCAAAGAAAGUACUGUUUGAUUCCAUUUACAUAAAAUUCUAGAAGACGCAAACAAAUCUAUAAAAACAGAAAGUAGGCCAAGGAUUGCCUGGGGACGGGGGUGGAGGAGGGGUGGGUUGUAAACAGGAGGGCACGAGGCGACUUUGGGGGCAAUGGAAAUGCUUGCCAUCUUGAUUGUGGUGAUGGUCUCAACGGACCACCUUCAUAAAGAUGUGAAAAGGGGGGAAAAUCACCAGGCCUAUAAGUGAACCCAACCAAAUCUUUAGGGAACGAUCACUCCGAUGCUAUUUAAAGCAUUUCAGUGCACAGAGAAAGAAGGAAAACUUCCAAAUUCCUUUUGUGAAACUAGCAUAAUUCUGAUACAGAAAACCUGGCAAAAGGGGCCCAUUAAUGAGUGUGCCGCUCUGCGCACACCUGUGGAGUUAUUAUUGACUCUGUAAAUCAGCUACACUGCAGUUGACCUACUUUCACAAUUUUUUUCUGUCUUUAGUUUCCAGAAAUUUAAUUGCAUUGUGUGUUCCUGUGGAUCUCUUUGGAUGCAUUCUGUUUGGGGAAAGCAGCAAGCAGGUUUACCAGAUGGGAUCAAGAGGGAAGAGGAAGGAGGCCAGCCUUGGAGGCUGAUCCCAGUGAGAGGGCUUCUCCUAGAGGGGUGCCAGGGCCAGGAGCCUCCAAGACCUGUGCGUGGGCUCACUGAUGCCCCUCUCGCCUCUCUCUGCUUGUCCCUCCCACCCUGACCCACCUGCUGCUCUCCACGCCCAUGGCUCCCACCUUUGUUUGUAUCUCCACUGUCUCUUGCCUUUUCUUUAAAAAUCUGACAGUCUCUGAGCCCCCUCUCCCUGCAAUCCAUCCUCCAUGAUGCCAGAAAUCCAAUUAUGUAACAGAGCUAGGAUCCAGCCACUCCUCUGCUCGCUUCCUGUUAGGGGCUGUGCUGCGUCUCCUUCUCCACCCCAGAAAUUUUUAUGUUGAAGUCCUAAUCCCCAGUAUAUCAGAGCAUGCCCAUAUCUGGAGAUAGGGCCUCUAAAGAGAUAGUCAAGUUAAAAUGAGGCUGUUAAGGUGGACCCUCAUCCAAUCUGACUGGAGGUCUUAUAAAAGGAGGAGAUUGGACACACAGAGACCCCAGGGCUAGGCAUAUUCAGAGGAGAGACUGUGAAGACACAGUGAGAAGGUGACCACCUGCAAGCCGAGGAGAGAGGCCCUGGGAGAACCCAAACUUGCCAACACCUUGAUCUUAGACUUCCGGCCUCCCGAAUUGUUAGAAAAUAAAUGUCUGUUGCUUAAGCCCCCUAGUCUGUGUAUUUUGUCAUGGAAGCUCUAGCAAACUAAUACUGUCCUCAUCUCAGACUCUGCUCUCCUGUGGCCCACAGAACAGGUGCAAACUUAGGACUGCACAGCCCAGCACCGCAGCCUCCUUCCCCGCAAUGCUCUAGCAACGCUGAAAGGGCUGCACCAAGUUGUUCAUGUCUCUGCGUCUCUGCAAUGCCACUCCCUCUGCCUGGGGCAGCCUCCCCUCCUUCUUGUCAACAGGCAGAGGCUCUGCUCUGCAGGUCUGACUUGUACAUCCACCACCUGCACUCAGCAUAGGACCUGGCACUGGGCAGAUGCCCCUGAAGGCUUAGAGGGAGGAAACAGAAAUGUCAGAGGGGCUGCAUUGGUGGACACAGGCAGGCCGGCUUUGUGGUCGUACCACCUGCGACUUACACAGCUUCCAAGUAUCUCUUAUUUAGGUCAAUGUUUUCUUCUUCUUCUUUUUUUUUUUUUCUUGAUGCCCAGUAAAGUUCAACUUUAUUGUAAAUUUUUUGUUUUUUGAGUCGGGGUCUCACUCUGCUGCCCAGGCUGGAGUGCAGUGGUGUAAUCAUAGCUCACUGCAGCCUGAACUCCUGGGCUCAAGUGAUCCUCCUGCCCAAAGUUU
rnacentral:lncRNA from 1 species